rnacentral:lncRNA from 1 species
CUUAAAUUGAAAGAAAAGAAAUCUAGUCUGCCCUAAAUUUUGGUAAAUGACCCUUUAUCAGAUAUUACAGUCAUAUAUGGGUGUUAUGGAGCAGAAUAUUUUACCCUGUAUUGUAGGGGAAAAAGCAAGGAGUUUGAACAUCAGAAUCAAUUUCCAAAACCUUACCUAAGCACAUCCUUAAUUUUUUUGUUAGUUCAUUGAGCCUAAUUAGAUAGACUUUUUUCUACAUAUGUCAUACAUCAGUAAAUCAAUUACCUUUCAAACACCAGUAUGUAAUUGACCAUGCAAUGUGCAAGUUUAUUUUUAACAUUAGUAUCAACAUUCAGGUCAUGAUCUAUUGAAGAUUAGUAGUUACAGAUAAGUUAUAACAGUAUUUAUGAUAAGGGAAAGAUACAAGACCACUGUCUAAGAUGCUCAUCUAAUGGACAAUUACAGUCAUCUUUUUAGAAAUUAAAAAAAAACAAAAAAACAAAAAAAACACACACUAUGCUGAUAUAUUUAACAUUAGAACCAUUUGCUACAGCUUUUAUUAUGAAAGUGUCACUUAUAACAUUUGUCUUAAUUAUUUAACGGUAUAAGUUAAAAGCUAAAUAAAAAGUAAUUAUUCAACAAAAGAAAAUAUAUUAUCUCUUGUAGAUUUUCACAAACUGGCAAUUACAGUCAUAUUAUUAGAAAA